rnacentral:misc_RNA from 1 species
GAUGAAGAACGUAGCAAAAUGCGAUAAGUAAUGUGAAUUGCAGAAUUCCGUGAAUCAUCGAAUCUUUGAACGCACAUUGCGCCCGCCAGUAUUCUGGCGGGCAUGCCUGUUCGAGCGUCAUUUCAACCCUCAAGCCCCCGGGCUUGGUGUUGGGGAUCGGCCGCCCUCCGGCGCGCCGGCCCCGAAAUCUAGUGGCGGUCUCGCUGUAGCCUCCUCUGCGUAGUAGCACACCUCGCACCGGAACGCAGCCUGGCCACGCCGUUAAACCCCCCACUUCUGAAGGUUGACCUCGGAUCAGGUAGGAAUACCCGCUGAACUUAAGCAUAUCAAUAAGCGGAGGA